rnacentral:lncRNA from 1 species
GGACUUAUAUUCUUUAACAGUUAAUCACUUCCCAAAUUAUAUAACAAGAAUACAUUAUAUAUGGACACAUGUUCAUCCUUAGAUUAAUCCCAAAAUAAAUGUUCAACCACUCGAACUUCAAUUAUGAAUGGUUAUUCUAGCAAACUUUUCAGAAGUUUUGGAUAAGAGGCUGCGGAGAAAAAGGAAAGUAAAAGUAACUAGUGGUGCCG